rnacentral:lncRNA from 1 species
CAUUGAAGAUACCUUAGAAAACAGUAUUAAGCAGCCAUAUCUAAUGAGGAUGGGAAAGUAUGUGGCCAAAUUUAGCUUUGGAAGUAACAGAAUUUAGAAUGUAGAAUAAUAAACUUAAGAAUCUAAAACAAAUCAUUCAAAAUAAAAAUAGGUCUGAGAAUAAACUAUUCAAGUACACAGUCUUUCAAAAGUACAAAUGACUCGAGUCCAGUAGAGAACCAAGCUCAAUGGUAUUUAAACGUCUUUUGUACACCACCCCUCACGAUGAGUAGUGAGCUUCAGUAUGAAAUCCAUGAGGUUCUACAGUGGCCUGUGUAGUAUCCUUGGUGUCUUCUGAAAAAGGUCCAAACAAAGGAUGGCAGACAUACUUCUGCCUAGCCAAUCCUUACAGUCUGCACAAAGAGUGGCCUUCAUUAGUAGGUGUUUUUAUCUCCCAGUUGGACAGCUUAGGGCAAGGGAAUGAGAGAUUUCAUUACCUAGUGACUACCUUAAACUAUAAAGAGGCCAACUUUUGGCCAAAAAAGGGUAGAUAUCUCUAGUUACCUUCCUAGAGGUCCUAAAAUUCCAAUUGUCUCAGAACUUUCAGACAGAAAUCAUUAUUACUAAUCGUAAAGAGGGGUGGGUCUUUUGCUCUUAAUAUUGCAUUUACUUAAUGUCAAGAGUUUUAUUUUUAAAAGAGAAGUUCUAUGUGUUGAAUAUAUGUGUGUGUUUUAAAUAUAUGAUCAUCUACACAGCUCUUGAUUCAUACUAAUUCUAGGUUCUUCAAAAACCUGUGAAUCAAUUUUUUCAACUCAGGUGCCAAAAGAAUUUUUCUCAUAUAUCAUGUAAAUAUAUUAAAACUAGUUUUUGAACAAUGGGCUAGAAAUUCUAAAAACUAAAAUGGGCAUCUUCCCUUUCUAUAAAAGCAAAGGUUUGUAGUUUUAUAAUGAUUGUUUCCAUUGUUUUGCCAUCAGUAUUAAGUUAGUGUACUCAAGUGUCAAAAAACUUUAUUAAUGGGGAAUUGGGAAUUGUUUAUAUGUAUCCAUUUUCUAUGUUAAAAUAAAUUCUCACUAGUCCAGAGAUAGCAGUCCACAUCAAUACAUGAAAAUAAGCAAGAAAUGUAAAAUAUUGCAGUAAUCUGAGCACUAAAUAUUUUUGGAGCCUUUCAUAUCAGUUUCUUUUGUUGCUGGAAGAAGCUUACAUUUAGCCAAUCUCUGCUUUCUCCCUUAGUUACAGGGUAUAUUAUAUAUCAAAUUUUAAGUUAAAUUUUUAAAAGUCUUUCAAUUAUCUUCAUCUUCUGAAAUUAAGGCUUAUUGUGAAAAAGACAGUAAAACUUGAAUUAUGGUAGCACUCACCAUGUAAAAUUCCAGUUUCUAUAAAAAUGAAUGUAAGUCCACUUAUAGACAAAGUAAGCAGCACUUUAAACUGUUUACUCCUUUUAUUGUUUCAGAUUAAGUUGAAUCCUAUGAAUGAGAAGGUAUUAUUUUGAAAUAUACACUCAUUAAAAAUUUCUGAUUUUAUUCCAAGAUGUUAAACUUUUCAAGUAUCCUACUUGGAGUGCUUAAAAAAGUUUCACCAUAAAUUGCUUUAAAAACAAGAGAAAAAUAUAAUAGACGAGUACAAUGUUUCAUCAAACCACAGUAAAAGAAUGUCAGAUUUAUAGUUUUUUCCCAUUAUUUUACUUGAUUAGAAUGAUUUUUAAUUUGCUAACUACUUUUCAAAAUAGAGGUCAAUAUGGUUAUAGCUUAAGAUGGACAAACAGCAAUUCUGUAGUAAAUUGUGAAGUUAUCUGACAUUUUAUUAAAUCUUUUUAAAGUGACUUUAAAAAGGUAAAACUGAAAUGAUACAAAAAAAAGAUUUCAAAAAGGUUAAAGAAAUGUUUACUAAAACAUUACAAUUUUUUCUAUGUCCAUUCAGGAUAUACUGGUAAUUAAAAAUUAUUUUAAAUAGUUUUUUUUUUUCAGCCACAAUGAGCAAGGCUAAAUUAGGGAAUCAUUGAAACUAAAUGUAUAGUUUUACUUUUUUCAUUUUUCAAUCACAGUGACUCGUACAAAUCUUAUUUUCAUUUUCUCAAAGGGUCAAAUAACAAAUUAAAAUGGAAAAAAAGUAGGACAUUUUCACCAAUUCAAAAAUGAAGGUCAC